UACGGGGGGGGCAAGCGUUUGUUCGGAAUUACUGGGCGUAAAGGGCUCGUAGGCGGCCAACUAAGUCAGACGUGAAAUCCCCUCGGCUUAACCGGGGGAACUGCGUCUGAUACUGGGAUGGCUUGAGUUUUUGGGAGAGGGAUGCGGAAUUCCAGGUGUAGCGGUGAAAUGCGUAGAUAUCUGGAGGAACACCGGGUGGCGAAGGCGGCAUCCUGGACCAAUUUCUGACGCUGAGGAGCGAAAGCCAGGGGAGCAAACGGG
rnacentral:rRNA from 1 species